rnacentral:rRNA from 1 species
CAUGCCGUAAACGUUGGGAACUAGAUGUAGGGACCUUUCCAGGGUUUCUGUGUCGUAGCUAACGCAUUAAGUUCCCCGCCUGGGGAGUACGGCCGCAAGGCUAAAACUCAAAGGAAUUGACGGGGGCCCGCACAAGCGGCGGAGCAUGCGGAUUAAUUCGAUGCAACGCGAAGAACCUUACCAAGGCUUGACAUAUACGAGAACGGGCGAGAGAUCGUCAACUCUUUGGACACUCGUAAACAGGUGG